GCCAGCGGCAAUAGCAUGUUGAAUGAUCCAGAUCCUAAGGGAUCACUGAAGUAAGACACAGUUGGUGCGUGGUUGAUAUCCGGAUGGAUGACUAUCUGGGUAAUCGCGUACUGCUGGCU
rnacentral:rRNA from 1 species